UCCGGUUGAUCCUGCCGGCGGGCACCGCUAUUGGAAUCCGAUUAAGGCAUGCGAGUCGAGAGAGGUAAAGCCCUCGGCGGACGGCUGAGUAACACGCGGAUAAUCUGCCCUCGGAUGGGGGAUAAUCUCGGGAAACUGAGAAUAAUACCCCAUAGGUCUAGUAUGCUGGAAUGCUUCUAGGCUAAAAAGCUCCGGCGUCCGAGGAUGAGUCUGCGGCCUAUCAGGUUGUAGUGGGUGUAACGGACCCACUAGUCUACGACGGGUAGGGGCGUUGGGAGACCGAGCCCCCAGAUGGAUUCUGAGACCGAAUCCAGGCCCUACGGGGCGCAGCAGCUGCGAAAACUUCGCAAUGUGGAAACCCACGACGAGGGGAUUCCAAGUGCCAAUGCUUUGCAUUGGCUGUUCUCCUGUCUAAAAAACAGGAGAAGUAAGGGCCGGGUAAGACGGGUGCCAGCCGCCGCGGUAAUACCCGCGGCCCAAGUGGUGUUCGAUAUUAUUGAGCUUAAAGCGUCCGUAGCCUGUCCUGUAAAUCUUCGGGUAAAUCGUGCAGCUUAACUGUUCGAAUUCCGAGGAGACUGCAGGACUUGGGACCGGGAGAAGUCGGAGGUACCUCUGGGGUAGGGGUAAAAUCCUGUAAUCCCAGAGGGACCACCAGUGGCGAAGGCGUCCGACCAGAACGGAUCCGACGGUGAGGGACGAAGCCCUGGGGCGCAAACGGGAUUAGAUACCCCGGUAGUCCAGGGUGUAAACGCUGCGGGCUUGGUGUCGGGGGUCCUACGAGGGCGCCCGGUGCCGGAGAGAAAUUGUUAAGCCUGCCGCUUGGGGAGUACGGUCGCAAGACUGAAACUUAAAGGAAUUGGCGGGGGAGCACCGCAACGGGAGGAGCGUGCGGUUCAAUUGAAUUCAACGCCGGG
rnacentral:rRNA from 1 species